UUAAGCGACUAAGCGUACACGGUGGAUGCCCUGGCAGUCAGAGGCGAUGAAGGGACGUGCUAAUCUGCGAUAAGCGCCGGUAAGGUGAUAUGAACCGUUAUAACCGGCGAUUUCCGAAUGGGGAAACCCAGUGUGAUUCGUCACACUAUCAUUAACUGAAUCCAUAGGUUAAUGAGGCGAACCGGGGGAACUGAAACAUCUAAGUACCCCGAGGAAAAGAAAUCAACCGAGAUUCCCCCCAGUAGCGGCGAGCGAACGGGGAGGAGCCCAGAGCCUGAAUCAGCAUGUGUGUUAGUGGAAGCGUCUGGAAAGGCGCGCGAUACAGGGUGACAGCCCCGUACACAAAAGCGCAUGUGCUGUGAGCUCGAUGAGUAGGGCGGGACACGUGGUAUCCUGUCUGAAUAUGGGGGGACCAUCCUCCAAGGCUAAAUACUCCUGACUGACCGAUAGUGAACCAGUACCGUGAGGGAAAGGCGAAAAGAACCCCGGCGAGGGGAGUGAAAAAGAACCUGAAACCGUGUACGUACAAGCAGUGGGAGCACAGGCUUACCGGGUGUGACUGCGUACCUUUUGUAUAAUGGGUCAGCGACUUAUAUUCUGUAGCAAGGUUAACCGUAUAGGGGAGCCGUAGGGAAACCGAGUCUUAACCGGGCGUUAAGUUGCAGGGUAUAGACCCGAAACCCGGUGAUCUAGCCAUGGGCAGGUUGAAGGUUGGGUAACACUAACUGGAGGACCGAACCGACUAAUGUUGAAAAAUUAGCGGAUGACCUGUGGCUGGGGGUGAAAGGCCAAUCAAACCGGGAGAUAGCUGGUUCUCCCCGAAAGCUAUUUAGGUAGCGCCUCGUGAAUUCAUCUCCGGGGGUAGAGCACUGUUUCGGCUAGGGGGCCAUCCCGGCUUACCAACCCGAUGCAAACUGCGAAUACCGGAGAAUGUUAUCACGGGAGACACACGGCGGGUGCUAACGUCCGUCGUGAAGAGGGAAACAACCCAGACCGCCAGCUAAGGUCCCAAAGUCAUGGUUAAGUGGGAAACGAUGUGGAAGGCCCAGACAGCCAGGAUGUUGGCUUAGAAGCAGCCAUCAUUUAAAGAAAGCGUAAUAGCUCACUGGUCGAGUCGGCCUGCGCGGAAGAUGUAACGGGGCUAAACCAUGCACCGAAGCUGCGGCAGCGAACGUAUCACCCAAGACAACUUUACGGAGUUGACGAUUUGACGGAGCGAAGCGACGGUCAAAGCGUUCAUUAAAGUCGAGUUGGCUUAGGGAUACGUUCGUUGGGUAGGGGAGCGUUCUGUAAGCCUGUGAAGGUGUGUCGUGAGGCAUGCUGGAGGUAUCAGAAGUGCGAAUGCUGACAUAAGUAACGAUAAAGCGGGUGAAAAGCCCGCUCGCCGGAAGACCAAGGGUUCCUGUCCAACGUUAAUCGGGGCAGGGUGAGUCGACCCCUAAGGCGAGGCCGAAAGGCGUAGUCGAUGGGAAACGGGUUAAUAUUCCCGUACUUGGUGUUACUGCGAAGGGGGGACGGAGAAGGCUAUGUUGGCCGGGCGACGGUUGUCCCGGUUUAAGCGUGUAGGUGUGUGUUCCAGGUAAAUCCGGUUCACUUUAACACUGAGGCGUGACGACGAGGCACUACGGUGCUGAAGCAACAAAUGCCCUGCUUCCAGGAAAAGCCUCUAAGCAUCAGGUAACACGAAAUCGUACCCCAAACCGACACAGGUGGUCAGGUAGAGAAUACCAAGGCGCUUGAGAGAACUCGGGUGAAGGAACUAGGCAAAAUGGUGCCGUAACUUCGGGAGAAGGCACGCUGACACGUAGGUGAAGUGAUUUACUCAUGGAGCUGAAGUCAGUCGAAGAUACCAGCUGGCUGCAACUGUUUAUUAAAAACACAGCACUGUGCAAACACGAAAGUGGACGUAUACGGUGUGACGCCUGCCCGGUGCCGGAAGGUUAAUUGAUGGGGUCAGCGCAAGCGAAGCUCCUGAUCGAAGCCCCGGUAAACGGCGGCCGUAACUAUAACGGUCCUAAGGUAGCGAAAUUCCUUGUCGGGUAAGUUCCGACCUGCACGAAUGGCGUAAUGAUGGCCAGGCUGUCUCCACCCGAGACUCAGUGAAAUUGAACUCGCUGUGAAGAUGCAGUGUACCCGCGGCAAGACGGAAAGACCCCGUGAACCUUUACUAUAGCUUGACACUGAACAUUGAGCCUUGAUGUGUAGGAAUAGGUGGGAGGCUUUGAAGUGUGGACGCCAGUCUGCAUGGAGCCGACCUUGAAAUACCACCCUUUAAUGUUUGAUGUUCUAACGUGACCCGUAAUCCGGGUUGCGGACAGUGUCUGGUGGGUAGUUUGACUGGGGCGGUCUCCUCCUAAAGAGUAACGGAGGAGCACGAAGGUUGGCUAAUCCUGGUCGGACAUCAGGAGGUUAGUGCAAUGGCAUAAGCCAGCUUGACUGCGAGCGUGACGGCGCGAGCAGGUGCGAAAGCAGGUCAUAGUGAUCCGGUGGUUCUGAAUGGAAGGGCCAUCCGCUCAACGGAUAAAAGGUACUCCGGGGAUAACAGGCUGAUACCGCCCAAGAGUUCAUAUCGACGGCGGUGUUUGGCCACCUCGAUGUCGGCUCAUCACAUCCUGGGGCUGAAGUAGGUCCCAAGGGUAUGGCUGUUCGCCAUUUAAAGUGGUACGCGAGCUGGGUUUAGAACGUCGUGAGACAGUUCGGUCCCUAUCUGCCGUGGGCGCUGGAGAACUGAGGGGGGCUGCUCCUAGUACGAGAGGACCGGAGUGGACGCAUCACUGGUGUUCGGGUUGUCAUGCCAAUGGCACUGCCCGGUAGCUAAAUGCGGAAGAGAUAAGUGCUGAAAGCAUCUAAGCACGAAACUUGCCCCGAGAUGAGUUCUCCCUGAGACUUAGAGUCUCCUGAAGGAACGUUGAAGACGACGACGUUGAUAGGCCGGGUGUGUAAGCGCAGCGAUGCGUUGAGCUAACCGGUACUAAUGAACCGUGAGGCUUAACCUU
rnacentral:rRNA from 1 species